rnacentral:lncRNA from 1 species
AUUUUUCUACUUUCGCUUCUGACAGCUAAUACCAUGACAGUGCCCAUAUUUUACGAAUGAAAAAAAAACUAGAUCCCUUAGGCUUUACUAAUAAGACAAGACUGGAUCUAUAAUUUACAACUAUAAUAGAGAGAGAGAGAGGGAGUAAUUGAUCUCAGCUUUAUACAAAUACUAAGUGUUAACUUCAAAAAGCAUAAAGACAACGGAUAUAACCGGAAAUUACUACACGGAGUUCUAUGCAUGCGGAACUAUUUUAUUUGACCGCUUCCGGUUGCAAUUCAUUCUCACCACGUGUGUAUUAGAAAAUAUACGAAAAAGAGAAAAACAGCCGUCAAUUAUGCAGCACGAUGAGGUCAUUUGGAGUAUUAUCAACAAUACGUUCUGCUCUUUCAAGACAAAGACCCAGACACAAACACUUUGUAGAAAUGAAUUUAAUGUGACAGGAGUGUGUGGUAGGAAUGCCUGUCCCUUAGCCAAUAGCCAAUAUGCUACAGUCAGGGAAGAG